UUUGAAAUAAAAAUUACAACACAAUAAGUGCGUGUAACAUCCCGGAAUCCACAAACACCCCGGAAUGUUACUGAACUACACUUCUGACAUCCGUAUAUAAAAUUUCGACAGCAUCUCCUUUGCAAAAUAGCAUAAAGGAGGGGGCAACAGUGUAUAAACAUGUAUCAUGACAAAAAAACAUACUAAGUAUUAUUAAACGGCUAGCAAAGGAAAGUUAAACAUACGACAUGAACUGAAUUAACCAGUGCGCAUGACUAGUAAAAAAAACAAACAUCCUUUGACAUCAAGUUUCUAAUUAAAUCAUGGAUGCGCUUGGGCAGCCUUAAUAUGAGAGUGAAAGUGGACGUGCUGCUACUCCCCUCAUUCCCCACAUAUAUCAAGUACCUGCAUUGAGUAAUGCAAGAGUGAGAUGACACAUCUCAGCAAGUAAAAUAAUAACAAACUGUUUAACCACAUAAGAACAUUGUUUUACCACCAUUUGAUUUCGCAACCUUCUUAUUACGAAGGUGCAGCACGAAUACAACGUACAACACACCUAGUUACCACACCUCGCAGGUAGAAACCACAAUAGUAACAUAGUAAUGUCACACUUCAUAUAUACCUCAUGAGUGCAAAUGUCUGCAAAUGCAAGGAUGACUUCUGCCUUCAUACCUCUAAGGGUAUGAAGCCGCAUCGUACCCCUCCUCGGGCAACGUACGAUGCUAAAAGUGUACCGGUACGGUCGGACCAUAAGAUCACGACAUAACUUCAAAAUGCAAUAUGGAUGAUGCGAUGUGCAUGACAUGCCUACAACACUUCAUACAACGUGAUUCAAAAAGAUACUUCAACUUCAUCCAAGAUGGGAAUCAACCACAUAUAUCAUUCCCAAAUCAUGAUCAUCCUCAAUAUUAGACAAUUGAGAAUUAAUUCUUUCGAACAAAUAAACUUCAUCAUAGAAUUCAAUGAUUAACACAUUUAAUACUUAUGCAUACUCAAUGACAAGGCAUAGGGUGCAAACCAAACGGUAGCAACCACCACUGUAUUUACUUGCCUUCACCGGGAAUUUGGAAUGGUACUAAGUACGAUCCGGAAGUCCACCACCUGUUUUUGACACACACCUUAGUGUACAAAUCAACAUAACAAACGCUAAUAAACAACGCCGCACCUACGCACAAUUCCAACCCGUUGCGAGCGACAACUCUCCCCAUCACCACCAAACUGCAGCGGUGCUGCUUGAUAAUUUCAUAACUUUAAAAUUAUAACAGCAGUGAUAUCAAUCAAAAACUACGGAAGCAUUUACAUAAAAUUUCCCACAAGUUUUAUAUUCAAAUGAUAAUUAAAUUCCAGCAUCUAAUUAGCCCAAACUCGUCUACAAGAUACACCCUGCAAUCUGUUUUUGGACAGCAACAUAACCGGAUUCAAACAGCGAUAUCUCCUAAAUUAUAACUCCGAAUCGAACGCAUAAGUACUCGUUGGAAAGGUAUGACAAGGCUCUACAUGAUUCUCAUAUUGAUUAUCACCAAUUUCCCACGAAAAAUUCCCAGAAACUGCUAAUACUACUGUUGUUCGCCCACCUGCAAAAAUCUGUUUUUUUUGGACAGCAACAUACCCGGAUUCAAACAGCAAUAUCUCCUAAAAUAUAACUCCGAAUCGAGUGCAUAAGUACUCGUUGGAAAGGUAUGACAAAGCUCUAAAUGAUUCUCAUAUUGAUUAUCACUAAGUUCCCACGAAAAAUCCCCAGAAACUGCUAAUACUACUGCUGUUUGCCCACCUGCAAAUCUGUUUUUUUUGGACAGCAACAUACCCGGAUUCAAACAGCAAUAUCUCCUAAAAUAUAACUCCGAAUCGAGUGCAUAAGUACUCGUUGGAAAGGUAUGACAAAGCUCUAAAUGAUUCUCAUAUUGAUUAUCACUAAGUUCCCACGAAAAAUCCCCAGAAACUGCUAAUACUACUGCUGUUUGCCCACCUGCAAAAUCUGUUUUUUUUGGACAGCAACAUACCCGGAUUCAAACAGCGAUAUCUCCUAAAAUAUAACUCCGAAUCGAGCGCAUAAGUACUCGUUGGAAAGGUAUGAAAAAGCUCUACAUGAUUCUCCCACUGAUUCCCACUAAUUACCCACGAAAAAUUCCCAGAAUCUGCUAGAACUACUGCUGUUCGCGCACCCACAAAAUUUCUGGACAGCACCUCUACCAAUUCGCAUACGUAAACAUCUAAUCGAUUGAAUUGCAGCACAAAUAAACAAGAGUUAAUCACAAAAUCACCUUGGGUUCCUCCUUUCCUCCUUCCUUCCUCCCACCAAUUCUCCAAUCGGAACUUGCACCCACACGAAGAAGAUCCGGCGAGGAAGGACAUCACUUGGAGAGGAGGAGAUGGGAGGGGGGGUGGCGGCUAGGGUUGAGGGGAUGGGGGCUGCUGCACAAGAGAGAGGGAAUUAGGGGGAAGGGGAUGGCGUCCAAAG
rnacentral:lncRNA from 1 species